rnacentral:rRNA from 1 species
CCUACGGGUGGCAGCAGUGAGGAAUAUUGGUCAAUGGGCGCGAGCCUGAACCAUCCAAGUCGCGUGAGGGAAGACGGUCCUAUGGAUUGUAAACCUCUUUUGUCGGGGAGCAAAAGACGCCACGCGUGGCGUUCCGAGAGUACCCGAAGAAAAAGCAUCGGCUAACUCCGUGCCAGCAGCCGCGGUAAUACGGAGGAUGCGAGCGUUAUCCGGAUUUACUGGGGGUAAAGGGCGUGUAGGCGGAGCUGCAAGUCAGAAGUGAAAUCUCCGGGCUCAACCCGGGAACUGCUUUUGAAACUGUAGACCUUGAGUAUCGGAGAGGCAGGCGGAAUUCCUAGUGGAGCAGUGAAAUGCGUAGAUAUUAGGAGGAACACCAGUGGCGAAGGCGGCCUGCUGGACGACAACUGACGCUGAGGCGCGAAAGCGUGGGGAGCAAACAGGAUUAGAUACCCCGGUAGUC